rnacentral:rRNA from 1 species
AGAGCGAACGCUGGCGGCAGGCCUAACACAUGCAAGUCGAGCGCCCCGCAAGGGGAGCGGCAGACGGGAGAGUAACACGUGGGAACGUACCCUUUGGUUCGGAACAACCCAGGGAAACUUGGGCUAAUACCGAAUAAGCCCUUACGGGGAAAGAUUUAUCGCCAAAGGAUCGGCCCGCGUCUGAUUAGCUAGUUGGUGAGGUAACGGCUCACCAAGGCGACGAUCAGUAGCUGGUCUGAGAGGAUGAUCAGCCUCACUGGGACUGAGACACGGCCCAGACUCCUACGGGAGGCAGCAGUGGGGAAUAUUGGACAAUGGCGCAAGCCUGAUCCAGCCAUGCCGCGUGGGUGAUGAAGGCCCUAGGGUUGUAAAGCCCUUUCGGCGGGGAAGAUAAUGACGGUACCGCAGAAGAAGCCCGGCUAACUUCGCGCCAGCAGCCGC